CACGAACGCUGGCGGCGUGCUUAACACAUGCAAGUCGAACGCUGAAGCUCAGCUUUUGUUGGGUGGAUGAGUGGCGAACGGGUGAGUAACACGUGAGUAACCUGCCUCCUUCUUUGGGAUAACGCCCGGAAACGGGUGCUAAUACUGGAUAUUCACUGGUCUUCGCAUGGGGGUUGGUGGAAAGGGUUUUUCUGGUGGGGGAUGGGCUCGCGGCCUAUCAGCUUGUUGGUGGGGUGAUGGCCUACCAAGGCUUUGACGGGUAGCCGGCCUGAGAGGGUGACCGGUCACAUUGGGACUGAGAUACGGCCCAGACUCCUACGGGAGGCAGCAGUGGGGAAUAUUGCACAAUGGGCGCAAGCCUGAUGCAGCGACGCCGCGUGAGGGAUGGAGGCCUUCGGGUUGUGAACCUCUUUCGCUCAUGGUCAAGCCGCAACAAUGGUUGUGGUGAGGGUAGUGGGUAAAGAAGCGCCGGCUAACUACGUG
rnacentral:rRNA from 1 species